rnacentral:rRNA from 1 species
UAGGGAAUCUUCGGCAAUGGACGAAAGUCUGACCGAGCAACGCCGCGUGAGUGAAGAAGGUUUUCGGAUCGUAAAACUCUGUUGGUAGAGAAGAACGUUGAUGAGAGUGGAAAGCUCAUCAAGUGACGGUAACUACCCAGAAAGGGACGGCUAACUACGUGCC